GCAAGGUCCAGGAGGUCGCGAAGAGGACGAAGAGAAUGCGGAAUCUUCUCCCGGCGACACAGGGUGGCCGGAGGAUCUGGAGGACAAGCGGAAGGAGCUUCUGGGGGCGAAGUUGGCGUUUCUUGGGGGACUGGAAGCAGUGUCGAGUGUAACCGAGCAUGGUAUAGGGAUGCGGGAUGAUAAACGAAGGCAUUAUCCCAAGAAUCCGGCCAUGAAAGGAGUGAUUGAUGAACAGGUAGACGAGUGGAUCCGAGCUGGGGCUAUCGAGCCAUCGCGGAGUUCGCGAAGCGCGCCCUUCGUAUUAGCAAGAUUAAGCAAGAGUAAAAUGAAGAGAGCAAGUAGAAAAUGAAGAUGGAGUCAGGUAACGAAGAGAAUUAAACGAAGGUAACGAAAGAACAUUAAUCAAGAAAAGUAAAAGUAAGGUAAUGAGGAUGAAAUAAAGUAAGUUAAACUAACGGAAAAUAAAAUUAAGAGCGAAUAAAGAGAGUAAAAAAGAAUUAAAUGGGUUAAGAGCGAACAAAGAAAAAUAAAAUAAAAGCGAAUAGAGAGAGCGAAAAGGAAUGAAAUGGGUUAAGGGCGAACAAAGAGAAAUUAAUUAAGAGGGAAAUAAAGAGAAUCGAAAAGGAAAGAGAUAAGUUAAGAUGGAAUAAAGAAAAUGAAAGAAAAUUAAAUAGAUUAAGACAAAGUAAAGAGAAACAAAAGAGAAUAGCGAAACAGUUUAAGAGGAAAUAAAGAAAACAAAAUAAAGCUAGAAUAAGUGAACAAAGAUUAGAUUAAGAAGGUAAGAGGAAAUGAAAUGAAAUAAGAUGGUAAAUGUAAGCAAAA